ACUCAAAUGAAUUGACGGGGGCCCGCACAAGCAGCGGAGCAUGUGGUUUAAUUCGAAGCAACGCGAAGAACCUUACCAGGUCUUGACAUCCAGUAAAGGCCGUAGAGAUACGGAAUCCCUUCGGGGGUACUGAGACAGGUGGUGCAUGGUUGUCGUCAGCUCGUGUCGUGAGAUGUUGGGUUAAGUCCCGCAACGAGCGCAACCCUUGUCGAUAGUUACUAACAAGUGAAGUUGAGGACUUUAUCGAGACCGCCGGGGACAACUCGGAGGAAGGUGGGGACGACGUCAAAUCAUCAUGCCCCUUAUGACCUGGGCUACACACGUGCUACAAUGGGCGCUACAGAGGGCAGCGAAGCCGCAAGGCGGAGCGAAUCUCAAAAAAGCGUUCUCAGUUCAGAUUGUGGGCUGCAACCCGCCCACAUGAAGGAGGAGUUGCUAGUAAUCGCGAAUCAUCAUGUCGCGGUGAAUACGUUCCCGGGCCUUGUACACACCGCCCGU
rnacentral:rRNA from 1 species